CGGACGGGUGAGUAAUGUCUGGGAAACUGCCUGAUGGAGGGGGAUAACUACUGGAAACGGUAGCUAAUACCGCAUAACGUCGCAAGACCAAAGAGGGGGACCUUCGGGCCUCUUGCCAUCGGAUGUGCCCAGAUGGGAUUAGCUAGUAGGUGGAGUAAAGGCUCACCUAGGCGACGAUCCCUAGCUGGUCUGAGAGGAUGACCAGCCACACUGGAACUGAGACACGGUCCAG
rnacentral:rRNA from 1 species